GGGUUAGGGGUUAGGGUAGGGUUAGGGUUAGUGGUUGAAGUAGGGUUAGGGGUAAGGUUAGGGUAGGCUAACCCUAACCCAAUUCCUAACUCUACCCCUACCCCUAACCCUACCACUAACCCUACCCUAACCUUACCCUAACCCUACUCCUAAGCCAGCCCUAACCCUACCCCUAACCCUACCC